GACGAACGCUGGCGGCGUGCUUAACACAUGCAAGUCGAACGGAAAGGCCUCUUUCGGGGGGUACUCGAGUGGCGAACGGGCGAGUAACACGUGAGUAACCUGCCCUUGACUUUGGGAUAACUUCAGGAAACUGGGGCUAAUACCGGAUAGGAGCUCCUGCUGCAUGGUGGGGGUUGGAAAGUUUCGGCGGUUGGGGAUGGACUCGCGGCUUAUCAGCUUGUUGGUGGGGUAGUGGCUUACCAAGGCUUUGACGGGUAGCCGGCCUGAGAGGGUGACCGGCCACAUUGGGACUGAGAUACGGCCCAGACUCCUACGGGAGGCAGCAGUGGGGAAUAUUGCACAAUGGGUGGAAGCCUGAUGCAGCAACGCCGUGUGCGGGAUGACGGCCUUCGGGUUGGAAACCGCUUUCGCUCAUGACGAAGCUUUGUGUGACGGUAGUGGGUAAAGAAGCACCGGCUAACUACGUG
rnacentral:rRNA from 1 species